UACAGAGGUCUCAAGCGUUGUUCGGAUUCAUUGGGCGUAAAGGGUGCGUAGGCGGCCCUGUAAGUCAGUGCUGAAAUAUCCCAGCUUAACUGGGAGGGUGGCAUUGAUACUGCGGGGCUAGAGUACAGAUGAGGUAGGCGGAAUUGACGGUGUAGCGGUGAAAUGCUUAGAUAUCGUCAAGAACACCUAUAGCGAAGGCAGCUUACUAGGCUGUAACUGACGCUGAGGCACGAAAGUGUGGGGAUCAAACAGG
rnacentral:rRNA from 1 species